CGACCCCAUGGACUGCAGCCCACCAGGCUCCUCUGCCCAUGGGAUUUUCCAGGAAGUUUUGCUGGAGUUGCUGGAACAUUGUGUGGAUGGCUUAUGGAAAGCAGAGCGUUACAAAGUAAUUUCUGAAAUUUCCAAGUUGAUCAUUCCAAUUUAUGAGAAUCGUCGAGUUUGAGAAACUUAAGUUUAUAGAACUCUUCAUGGAGCUUACACAAAAAUUUUGGAGGUUAUGCACGCAAAGAAAAGACUUUUAGGCACCUUCUUCAGAGUUGCCUUUUAUGGCCCAGUAAGUAUACUGUAGUUCAUCAAGUUGCUUUCCUCUUUAAACAUUCACCUUGAAUUAUUAGGUUACCAUAGCAGCAGUCUGGUUCUAGGGUUCUGUCUGGGUAAAGCACCUGUCCCAACAGCAGGUGUGACCCUUUUCUCAUGUAAUGUUCACUUUGGUUUCCAUAUUUAGUCCACGAGGGCAGAGCACAGCAUAUAAGAUUUGAACGUUUCCUUCAGUUUCAGUUUCAGUCAG